UACGUAGGGUGCGAGCGUUGUCCGGAAUUACUGGGCGUAAAGAGCUCGUAGGUGGUUUGUCGCGUUGUCCGUGAAAACUCACAGCUUAACUGUGGGCGUGCGGGCGAUACGGGCAGACUGGAGUACUGCAGGGGAGACUGGAAUUCCUGGUGUAGCGGUGGAAUGCGCAGAUAUCAGGAGGAACACCGGUGGCGAAGGCGGGUCUCUGGGCAGUAACUGACGCUGAGG
rnacentral:rRNA from 1 species